AGUUUAAUACUUUCUACAGUCCAUAUAAUUGCUUUCAUUGGUAAUAAUAAACAACUCUUGUUGCAAAAGAACAUGUUAAUGCACAUUAGCAAAAGUAAUUAAUCCCAUUAAUAAACAACAUAUAGACAUGAGUCACAUGAUAUUCUAUUCACAGAUCCACUAGAUGUUAAAAGCUGACAUAUUAUCUAAGACUACAAUGCCUAGAACUUAAUAGAUUAAUACCAAUUUGGAAUUUGAAAUAAGCAAUUAACUAACAUGUCAUGUUCUCUCAGAUUCUAGUGUCCGAAAUCCCAAAGUCAUAAAUUAAUAAUAGUCUUUGUUUAAGAUACCCUGAGAAAUCAUACUUAUCGUAGUCUUAAAACAUUGCAUUAUAAGAACUGAGUGGUGCAAACAUAUUUUACGAUAGUCAUAGUGUGGGUUUGGAUUAGGAAAAUUCGAUUUAAUAAAAGGAGGAUGUAGUUUUCAUGGAUUCAGACAGAUGGGGUGUCAGAUAUUGACAAUGGAGGCCCAAAUGAAGACAAGAAGAAUGGGAAAUUAGGGAUUGGUCUCAACUUUGGGACUAUGUUUGUCUGAAGUUGAAAAAAGCCACCAAAUGUGCCCAUUCGUGUAUUUUUUUUUAACACCCCAACAUAAUGUCCCACCAUGAAGGGGACAUCUCCCCUUAGCUAUCCCUUUCUCAUUAUUCUUGUAUUUCUAUAAUUCUUUCGUUUGUUACAAACAAUUGUUAUAAGAGGUAUAAUUUGUAGAAAGAUAUAUCAAAAGUAAUCACUAAAUAAGUAAGAAUCGUAGACGCAUUAUCCUUAUACUAAUGAUGUUGUCUUCACUUCCUCGAGAAACCUCGUGACUCAUGACACUAUUUUAAUAUACAUGCAAAUUGCAAGACAUUGGAUGUUGCGUAGGUGGUCAUUCUUGUAUAAUAAUAAUAUAAUCAUGAAAGAAAACACUAAUUAAGGAAAUAUCCAUUCUUAAGUUUUUCAUAUCUUUUAUAUUAUUCAAAUAUGUAUCUUCAUAAUAAUUCUUCAUAUUUUUUGGUAUCAUUAUUCUUCAUGGUUAUGCUUCAUAUUUCUC
rnacentral:sRNA from 1 species